rnacentral:tRNA from 1 species
AAUGGAGUAAAAUAUGGUUAACUCAUUAGGCUCAUGAUCUAAAAAUAUAGGUUCAAAUCCUAUUUCUGUAU